rnacentral:rRNA from 1 species
GAUGAACGCUGGCGGCGUGCCUAAUACAUGCAAGUCGAGCGAACGGACGAGAAGCUUGCUUUUCUGAUGUUAGCGGCGGACGGGUGAGUAACACGUGGAUAACCUACCUAUAAGACUGGGAUAACUUCGGGAAACCGGAGCUAAUACCGGAUAAUAUUUUGAACCGCAUGGUUCAAAAGUGAAAGACGGUCUUGCUGUCACUUAUAGAUGGAUCCGCGCUGCAUUAGCUAGUUGGUAAGGUAACGGCUUACCAAGGCAACGAUGCAUAGCCGACCUGAGAGGGUGAUCGGCCACACUGGAACUGAGACACGGUCCAGACUCCUACGGGAGGCAGCAGUAGGGAAUCUUCCGCAAUGGGCGAAAGCCUGACGGAGCAACGCCGCGUGAGUGAUGAAGGUCUUCGGAUCGUAAAACUCUGUUAUUAGGGAAGAACAUAUGUGUAAGUAACUGUGCACAUCUUGACGGUACCUAAUCAGAAAGCCACGGCUAACUACGUGCCAGCAGCCGCGGUAAUACGUAGGUGGCAAGCGUUAUCCGGAAUUAUUGGGCGUAAAGCGCGCGUAGCGGUUUUUUAGUCUGAUGUGAAAGCCCACGGCUCAACCGUGGAGGGUCAUUGGAAACUGGAAAACUUGAGUGCAGAAGAGGAAAGUGGAAUUCCAUGUGUAGCGGUGAAAUGCGCAGAGAUAUGGAGGAACACCAGUGGCGAAGGCGACUUUCUGGUCUGUAACUGACGCUGAUGUGCGAAAGCGUGGGGAUCAAACAGGAUUAGAUACCCUGGUAGUCCACGCCGUAAACGAUGAGUGCUAAGUGUUAGGGGGUUUCCGCCCCUUAGUGCUGCAGCUAACGCAUUAAGCACUCCGCCUGGGGAGUACGACCGCAAGGUUGAAACUCAAAGGAAUUGACGGGGACCCGCACAAGCGGUGGAGCAUGUGGUUUAAUUCGAAGCAACGCGAAGAACCUUACCAAAUCUUGACAUCCUUUGACAACUCUAGAGAUAGAGCCUUCCCCUUCGGGGGACAAAGUGACAGGUGGUGCAUGGUUGUCGUCAGCUCGUGUCGUGAGAUGUUGGGUUAAGUCCCGCAACGAGCGCAACCCUUAAGCUUAGUUGCCAUCAUUAAGUUGGGCACUCUAAGUUGACUGCCGGUGACAAACCGGAGGAAGGUGGGGAUGACGUCAAAUCAUCAUGCCCCUUAUGAUUUGGGCUACACACGUGCUACAAUGGACAAUACAAAGGGCAGCGAAACCGCGAGGUCAAGCAAAUCCCAUAAAGUUGUUCUCAGUUCGGAUUGUAGUCUGCAACUCGACUACAUGAAGCUGGAAUCGCUAGUAAUCGUAGAUCAGCAUGCUACGGUGAAUACGUUCCCGGGUCU